AUGGUACAUAACAAGAGUCUAAGUAGGGAUAAUCUGUCUAAACCCCAACAUGUGGAGGACCUGACAUGUGUCUAUUAUGGUGAAUCUGAAAGCAUCCACCACCUGUUUUUUGAGUGUGUGGUGGCCCGCCAAGUGUGGCCCGUGAUUUCUAAUUGUACUAAGAUGCCUGUUCCUGAAUCGUUUGAAUCUUUUAUUCCUUUUUGGAAGAAGAAAAAAAAUGCUAUGAUGCAAUUAACCUGGUCUCUGCUGCUACCUUAUGGAGCUUAUGGUUGCUUCGGAAUGAAUUUGUGUUUCAGGGGAGAAAAUGGCGAAGUAUCAAAUGUGUGCUGGACCUGGUGGGGAAGCAUAUCCAUCAAUGGAAAAUCCUGUGUGUGGACUCCCAAGUUGUGCUACUCCUCCAAUGCUUGA
rnacentral:rRNA from 1 species